GAACGCUGGCGGCAUGCCUUACACAUGCAAGUCGAACGGCAGCACGGGAGCAAUCCUGGUGGCGAGUGGCGAACGGGUGAGUAAUAUAUCGGGAACGUGCCCAGUCGUGGGGGAUAACGUAGCGAAAGCUACGCUAAUACCGCAUACGAUCUAUGGAUGAAAGCGGGGGAUCGCAAGACCUCGCGCGAUUGGAGCGGCCGAUAUCAGAUUAGGUAGUUGGUGAGGUAAAGGCUCACCAAGCCGACGAUCUGUAGCUGGUCUGAGAGGACGACCAGCCACACUGGGACUGAGACACGGCCCAGACUCCUACGGGAGGCAGCAGUGGGGAAUUUGGACAAUGGGCGCAAGCCUGAUCCAGCAAUGCCGCGUGCAGGAUGAAGGCCUUCGGGUUGUAAACUGCUUUGUACGGAACGAAACGGUGAGCUCUAAUACAGUUUGCUAAUGACGGUACCGUAAGAAUAAGCACCGGCUAACUACGUG
rnacentral:rRNA from 1 species